rnacentral:lncRNA from 1 species
CUUCCGGUUCCCGCGCGGCGCUCCAAAGCUCGGGGAGUGGUGGUCUCCCUUUCCUGGAGUCAUUUGUGGGAGUUAGGGUCUUAUCCUGAUCUUUCCUCGUCCCCCGCUCCCCCGUCCUCCGAGGUGGCAGCUGCAAGUCUGGAACGUUUUUUCUUAGAGUUCCAGAAUUGAGACUGAAGUGUACCCAGAGACACAAAGAAAUACAGAAGUCCAGAAUGAUCAAAUGAGAUCACUACCCAAUGAAAUGAUGGGCCGAGGAGCCAGAAGUUGUCCUACUACCUGCUUUCCAGGUCCAGAUUCCACGAGAGCCUUCUGGGCUCCCACCAGAGACCCUCAGUGAAGACUCUGUUGAAGACUUUAAGACCAUGCUAGAAAGCCUCCCGGCAGAGGUUCAGGAAGUUCUGCUAUGAGGAUGCAGCUGGCCCCAGGGAUGUCCUCAGGCAUCUCUAGGACCUUGCUGGACGGUGGUGGCUGAGACCUGAUAUCCACACAAAGGAGCAGACUGUGGAAAUGCUGGUGCAGGAGCAAUUCCAGGCUGUCCUGCCCGAGGAGCUCAGAGCUCAAGCACAGAGAUGUCAGCCUGGAAUCAGAAUCACUGGCUAAGUCUUGCUGCUUGCUUCUUGCUCAGCCUGCAUAUGAGAAGUCAACCAAGCAUUCUCUUGGAUGCAAGAUCCAACUGCACCCAUGGGAAAUCUGAACUUCCACUUUCUUUGAGCUUGUCUUUGGUUGUAAUAAGAAUCCAUCAAAACCCAUGUCUGGAUCUCUCUUUGGCUGAGGCAGCUUUAUUUCCUACAGAAAGAGUUUCUCUGUCCUCUUGUUAGGACAAUCAGCCUGCUGCUUUGGGCU